rnacentral:misc_RNA from 1 species
AAGUCGUAACAAGGUUUCCGUAGGUGAACCUGCGGAAGGAUCAUUAACACGUAUCCACGUAUCAACCAACUGUGAACUCGUUCUCACCUCUCCCUGCCGGUUACAUGAAUUGGAAGUGCGCGUGCAUGUUAUGAUGGAGACACUCGUGUCUCAUUGCACACACACACACUUGUCACUCGAUUCGUCGAGGGGCAGACAAUUGUAGUAACAGUCAGGCAUACCUUCUGCUAUCGCACUGUGCCAUCAUAUCAGCGCGAUAGUGGGAACACACAUCACUUAUUUCACACCCUUUUUGCUAGUUGACUUUUAUAUGUUGUCUCAGCGUGGUACGCGAGUACUCACUGGAACACACGUUUAUUAUUUGAACGUUAAAAUUACAACUCUUAGCAAUGGAUAUCUUGGUUCUC